rnacentral:rRNA from 1 species
GACGAACGCUGGCGGCGUGCUUAACACAUGCAAGUCGAACGGAAAGGCCUCUUUCGGGGGGUACUCGAGUGGCGAACGGGUGAGUAACACGUGAGUAACCUGCCCUUGACUUUGGGAUAACUUCAGGAAACUGGGGCUAAUACCGGAUAGGAGCUCCUGCUGCAUGGUGGGGUUGGAAAGUUUCGGCGGUUGGGGAUGGACUCGCGGCUUAUCAGCUUGUUGGUGGGGUAGUGGCUUACCAAGGCUUUGACGGGUAGCCGGCCUGAGAGGGUGACCGGCCACAUUGGGACUGAGAUACGGCCCAGACUCCUACGGGAGGCAGCAGUGGGGAAUAUUGCACAAUGGGUGGAAGCCUGAUGCAGCAACGCCGUGUGCGGGAUGACGGCCUUCGGGUUGUAAACCGCUUUCGCUCAUGACGAAGCUUUGUGUGACGGUAGUGGGUAAAGAAGCACCGGCUAACUACGUG